GUGCGCCGGUAAGCUCCGAUGCAGCGUAACAGCGUGAUUUUUUCGUGGCCUGGCUGCCUGAUGCAUUUCGAUUAUACGGUCUUUCCGUUUUGGACCUUGGCCGUGUGAAGAUCGUUCUCUCCUGAGCAUACUUUAUUUAAACCCAGAGAUCUACCCAAACCAAAUCGUGGAAAAUAUCAGUCAUCCUCAGCCUUUUAAAAGGUUUUCUUUUACCAGUGAGUUCCUGUUGAUUAAAGGAAGAAAAUUCUUGGAAGUCGAGUUUACUCCUUUACGUGGCUGACGGCCCGGGGAAAUUUUCCUCCCAGAUUUUCGUCUGCAUCGUGGAUAAUUGAAGUCGAGUUUACUCCUUCAUGUGGCUUACUGCCCAGGAAAAUUUCUGCCCAGAUUUUCGUCUGCAUUGUGGAAAAUUGAAGUCGAGUUUACUCCUUCUACCACCAACGCCACAGGAUUGUCAGGAUUUUCAUCAGCUCUCCACAUUCAUCAUAAAACAUCAAACAAAAAUUUAAUCAAGAAAGUGAACUGUGAAAAUUUCAACCAGCGUUGCCACCUAGCGUCCACGCUGAAAAUUCUUGUGAAUUCUGGUCCAAACAAUUCUGAACAAAUUCAUGCACGUCCGUGCCAACAACAUAGUGCACCCUGUGUCUCACAUACAUACAUAGUGCAGCCCUCUGCUGAAAGUGCGCAAGUGGGCAGGCCCAAGCCUGCAACACCCACUUUGUGAUCCAGUCUAGUUUUACCAACACAAUUUAAAUUUAAAUCAGUUAAAUUCUAAUCAACUAAAUUCCUUUUCUUAAGUUAAACUAGAUUUCUGUAUCGCUAAAUUAAUUAAAAUUUAAAUAUCUAAUAA